UUCUUUCUUGUAUUUCUUUAAUAAACAAUUAUGAUAGAAAGGAAAAAGACAAAGACAGAUUGCUUAAAAGCCCAAUGGAGUAGUGGUUUCAAACCUAUUACCCCGUUUGUAUGUCCGAUCGAAUUGAAUUUGAAUCGAAAUUUCCAUCCAGGUAUAUGCCCUGCAAACCAAACCUCAGUAGUUUAGGGGAAAUUACAACCACCAACAAAGUCUAUACUUUGUAGGUGUAUGUGUUUCCUUAUUUACCAAAAUCUCUCCCCUCAAAAUAUUGUAGUUUUGUUUCUCCUGAAAAAAAUAAACUCUUUGGUAAAUGGGAGGAAAAGAGAGCGAUGUAUGCAAUGCACAAAGUUUUGUCUCUUUUGUAAUGGCGGCGCGCCAUUGAUUUGACUUUUCCUGCAUUUUAUAUUUUCUAGUGAAACCUUGAUAGCCGCAGCAACAUAUUCGUUAAGAAAAAAAACAUUUUUGUGCUCCAUUUGAUAGAUAAAUAGAACAAUUUAACUUAAAAAAUAAAUAAAAUCUUCUCAGUGUUAUUUGUGAAAACUAUUUAAAAACAAAAAAACAAUCUACCGCACAAAUUCUUCGGCACGCCACAUAAAUUCCACCACCAUUUCCACCAUCAAAAUGCACAGCCUCAGCCUUGUGCAUUUAGAAAAAAAAUGACACAAAAACAACCACCAAUUGAUUUGGAAAAUAAAGUGGCGAUCAAUUCCAGACAUCAUUGACUGAGUUUACAGCAGCUUCAGCCUUGAGCAUUUAGAAAAAAAAAGUCAAAACAAGAUACAAAAACUACCACCAAAGUGCAGACUGCAGAGUAUUUUUUUUUUUUCAUUUUUCUCAACUGGCCAGGCCACAGUGGCGUGCCCAAGGAUCUUUUUUUUAUGUAUUUUGUUUUCAAAAAAAAACUAUUUUGUGUUUUUCCAAUAAAAUAUUAAAUAAUAGUUGUUUAAAAGAA